rnacentral:rRNA from 1 species
AGUCGAGCGGAUGAAGGGAGCUUGCUCUUGGAUUCAGCGGCGGACGGGUGAGUAAUGCCUAGGAAUCUGCCUGGUAGUGGGGGAUAACGUCCGGAAACGGGCGCUAAUACCGCAUACGUCCUGAGGGAGAAAGUGGGGGAUCUUCGGACCUCACGCUAUCAGAUGAGCCUAGGUCGGAUUAGCUAGUUGGUGGGGUAAAGGCCUACCAAGGCGACGAUCUGUAACUGGUCUGAGAGGAUGAUCAGUCACACUGGAACUGAGACACGGUCCAGACUCCUACGGGAGGCAGCAGUGGGGAAUAUUGGACAAUGGGCGAAAGCCUGAUCCAGCCAUGCCGCGUGUGUGAAGAAGGUCUUCGGAUUGUAAAGCACUUUAAGUUGGGAGGAAGGGCAGUAAGUUAAUACCUUGCUGUUUUGACGUUACCAACAGAAUAAGCACCGGCUAACUUCGUGCCAGCAGCCGCGGUAAUACGAAGGGUGCAAGCGUUAAUCGGAAUUACUGGGCGUAAAGCGCGCGUAGGUGGUUCAGCAAGUUGGAUGUGAAAUCCCCGGGCUCAACCUGGGAACUGCAUCCAAAACUACUGAGCUAGAGUACGGUAGAGGGUGGUGGAAUUUCCUGUGUAGCGGUGAAAUGCGUAGAUAUAGGAAGGAACACCAGUGGCGAAGGCGACCACCUGG